UUCGAGAAAACUUCAAAUAAAGUUAGGAUGAUAAAAUGAGAUUCGAAAACUCGAUUAACUCGAAAAUUUUCGAUUCGAUUCGAUUCGACUCGAUCGAAUGCUCACCCCUAAUUAUUAGAGUAAAUUGGCCACAUUUAAACAAGCAAAACAGUAAAAAUAAAGUCUCAGUGCAUUUAGCAGAGAAAUAGAAGAUAUUUUCACUGCUAGAAACCCUUCACCUACCAAAAAAACAAGAAAGCCUAGAAACCUUUCCUUCUGAUGAUCUGUUGCACGAAUUCUGCAAAUAAGUUCCAAGAAGUUCUAACCAGGAAAGCCCAAAAGCCAUCGAUCUCGAUUCACUACUUCCAUCGCCGAUUUAGGUACUUCUUCAACCUAGAAAUGAUUUUCAGUUAAGGGAAAUCCUGCUUUAGCUAUUGUAUGAGCUACUCCAUUUGCUUCUGUAUCAAUAUACUGAAAAUAGAUAAAAUGAAACUUAGUUGCCAAUCUUUUAAUCUCUUCUAUGUGAAUCCCUAUUUCAGGUCUAUCCAGAGCCCAUUUUUGAGCCUUAACAAUCGUAGUUCUCGAAUCUCCUUCCAUCUCGGUAUGUUGUAAACCCAUUUUCAUCGCAAAUUCUAAAGCUUGGACGCAGGCUAAUGCUUCAGCAGAAAAAGCAGUUGCUACAUAUGUAUUUCUCCUCACCCCCUUCCCAAAACAAGGCCAGCUUUAUUUUUUAUUACAAAACCUAACCAUGACUGGCGGAGAUUUGGCUUGAACGCUGCAUCAAAGUUCACCUUAACAUUUGGACUUUUAGGAGGCUUCCACUGGGAUUUCAUGGUCUCAUUUUGUUAAGUAAUUUCAUCUUAAUCUCAUCAAGUUCUCUUAUAAGGCUCUCAACUUUUGUGCUAAUAUCCUGGGUUGUCUGUCUUUUGCCUUCCUCUCCUAUUUAUUACGAGAUUGCCAAAGCGCCCAAACAAUAAUCGCUAUUCUGCGGCAGGUAAGAGUACUAUUCUUCUUAAACAAAUAAACAACCCAGCCCCAUAUAUUAUCUGUAUCAAGAUCUGGGGACCAAUCAAUACUAACCUUCUGAUAAGAAUGAGAUGAAUGAAUAUAGAAGCG
rnacentral:lncRNA from 1 species